UUUAAUUGACUCACAGUUCCACAGCCUUAACAGGAAGCAUAACUAGGAGGCCUCAGGAAACUUAACAGUUAUAGCGGAAGGAGAAGAAGGACAUUCUUCACAUGGAGGCAAGGGAGAGCAAGGGGUGAAGUGCCACACUUUUAAACCAUGGGAGGUGGUGGGAGAAGAUUGGAUCAUGGGGGAGGAUUUUUCCUAUGCUGUUCUCAUGAUAAUGAGUAAGUGAGUUCUCAGAUGAUCUGAGAACAUACUGUGUACAUUUUUUCAGUUCUGAAAGCAAUUUUUGAGCCCCCACGAAAUACCAGAUAUCAAACCUACCCUGGAAACACAAAGAUUGCAGCAUUUAGUGAGGAUGACAAAUAAGUGGGCAUGCACUGUCCUAAAUGUAAGGCUAGCUCUCUAUAAAUGCUUGGCAGCACUGAGGAGGAGCGAGCCUGUAAUCAAGAGCAGGGUCAGGGCAUGUCAAAAAGACAACCCAGAAGAGAUUAUUCCUAAACUCAAUCAGAAAGGAUGAUCCAGCCAGGGAGAAGGAAGAGAAUACGAGCAGUGGCAAACAUACAUGGUGAAUAUAGAGAAUUACAGGUAUUUUGAGUUAGUAGAGGAUAAAGUAUAAAGGGGAAUGACCAGGGAUCUGGCUGGAAUGGUUAAGUAGUUACCAGAUGAUACUAUAUCCUACAGGCAGAACUCUUACCAGGGCCAUUCUUAGCUGCUUUUAGGUACCUUUGGGUUAAUUACACAUACCUUGAUCAGUCAGAUGCAUCCAGGGAAGAAGGAUUGCAUGACACAAAGCAUAGUGACCUGAAACUGUAAGGAAUUGUUCAGAAGGGACAAUGGGCAACUGGGCAUGACAUGUACUUUGUUGUUUCUCAGAAGAGGAUAAUGCUGGAAGGCUCAGUACAUGGUUGGUCUAAAAUGGAGGGAUAGUAGAAACCAAGCCAAGCCAAGCUUGGAAACAGUGAAUUUUUUGUGGUUUCAUCCUAUACAGCUAUGUGGUCUUCCUAAAGAGCUUUGUCAUGGCACCAGGAAGAUUGACUUAAACAUUGUUUUAAUUCUUAUUUUUGAUAACUAAUCAUUAAAAAAAUGGAAAGUGUUGGUAAAUAAAUAGCUUCAGAUGAUUAGCUAUGGAAUCUAGGGAGAAGGAAAAGAGAACAGGAAAAAAACAAGGGACAGGGAGAAAAUGAGGUGGUCCAGAAAGUAGAGGUUUCUAGGUUGAAGAAUAGGUUCUUGUGGAGAAAGAGAUAUAUGAAAGACAUGUGAUUAGGGAGAAAAAUCAGAAAAAAAUUACUGUUUAAGAUAUCUGAGAUGGAGGAUCUCUGAAUGAUGAUAAGAUCUAGUGUGUAGAUAAAAGAGUGUGUGGCUGAAAUGUAGAAGAAUGAAGCAGGAUCCUCAUCUCUCACCUUAUACAAAAAUCAACUCAAGAUGGAUCAAAGGCUUACAUCUGAGACCUGAAACCAUAAGAAUUCUAGAAGAUAACACUGGAAAAACUCUUCUAGACAUUGACUUAGGCAAAGAGUUCAUGACCAAGAACCCAAAAGCAAAUGCAACAAAAUCAAAGGUAAAUAGAUGGGACCUAGUUAAACUGAAAAGCUUCUGCACAG